GACGAACGCUGGCGGCGUGCUUAACACAUGCAAGUCGAACGGAAAGGCCCUGCUUUUGUGGGGUGCUCGAGUGGCGAACGGGUGAGUAACACGUGAGUAACCUGCCCUUGACUUUGGGAUAACUUCAGGAAACUUGGGCUAAUACCGGAUAGGAGCUCCUGCUGCAUGGUGGGGGUUGGAAAGUUUCGGCGGUUGGGGAUGGACUCGCGGCUUAUCAGCUUGUUGGUGGGGUAGUGGCUUACCAAGGCUUUGACGGGUAGCCGGCCUGAGAGGGUGACCGGGCACAUUGGGACUAAGAUACGGCCCAGAGUGGUACGGGAGGCAGUAGUGGGGAAUAUUGCACAAUGGGCGGAAGCCUGAUGCAGCAACGCCGCGUGCGGGAUGACGGCCUUCGGGUUGUAAACCGCUUUCGCCUGUGACGAAGCGUGAGUGACGGUAAUGGGUAAAGAAGCACCGGCUAACUACGUG
rnacentral:rRNA from 1 species